rnacentral:pre_miRNA from 1 species
CAUGCACCAGUGGGGUCCCUCAGCCUGGCCUGUACCCUCUCGCAAUCUGGGACCCCUCAGGGAUGUUGGAGAGCCAGUUUUGGCCUGAUCCGGCAGGCCAGGCUGAGGGACCCCACUGGUGCAUG